rnacentral:rRNA from 1 species
GACGAACGCUGGCGGCGUGCUUAACACAUGCAAGUCGAACGGAAAGGCCCUGCUUUUGUGGGGUGCUCGAGUGGCGAACGGGUGAGUAACACGUGAGUAACCUGCCCUUGACUUUGGGAUAACUUCAGGAAACUGGGGCUAAUACCGGAUAGGAGCUCCUGCUGCAUGGUGGGGGUUGGAAAGUUUCGGCGGUUGGGGAUGGACUCGCGGCUUAUCAGCUUGUUGGUGGGGUAGUGGCUUACCAAGGCUGUGACGGGUAGCCGGCCUGAGAGGGUGACCGGCCACAUUGGGACUGAGAUACGGCCAAGACUCCUACGGGAGGCAGCAGUGGGGAAUAUUGCACAAUGGGCGGAAGCCUGAUGCAGCAACGCCGCGUGCGGGAUGACGGCCUUCGGGUUGUAAACCGCUUUCGCCUGUGACGAAGCGUGAGUGACGGUAAUGGGUAAAGAAGCACCGGCUAACUACG